AUUGAACGCUGGCGGCAGGCCUAACACAUGCAAGUCGAACGAGUGGCGGACGGGUGAGUCAUGUCUGGGAAACUGCCUGAUGGAGGGGGAUAACUACUGGAAACGGUAGCUCAUACCGCAUACCAUCGGAUGUGCCCAGAUGGGAUUAGCUUGUUGGUGGGGUAACGUCUAAGCAAGGCGACGAUCCCUAGCUGGUCUGAGAGGAUGACCAGCCACACUGGAACUGAGACCCGGUCCAGACUCCUACGUGAGGCAGCAGUGGGGAAUAUUUCACAAUGGGCGCAAGCCUGAUGCAGCCAGGCCGCGUGUAUGAAGAAGGCCUUCGGGUUGUAAAGUACUUUCAGCGGGGAGGCGUUACCCGCAGAAGAAGCACCGGCUAACUCCGUGCCAGCAGCCGCGGUAAUAC
rnacentral:rRNA from 1 species